rnacentral:rRNA from 1 species
AUACGGAGGGGGUUAGCGUUGUUCGGAAUUACUGGGCGUAAAGCGCACGUAGGCGGAUUGGAAAGUUGGGGGUGAAAUCCCAGGGCUCAACCCUGGAACUGCCUCCAAAACUAACAGUCUAGAGUUCGAGAGAGGUGAGUGGAAUUCCAAGUGUAGAGGUGAAAUUCGUAGAUAUUUGGAGGAACACCAGUGGCGAAGGCGGCUCGCUGGCUCGAUACUGACGCUGAGGUGCGAAAGCGUGGGGAGCAAACAGGAUUAGAAACCCUAGUAGUCC